GUGGGGAAUUUUGGACAAUGGGGGCAACCCUGAUCCAGCCAUGCCGCGUGCGGGAAGAAGGCCUUCGGGCUGUAAACCGCUUUUGUCAGGGAAGAAAUCCUUUGGGUUAAUACCUCGGAGGGAUGACGGUACCUGAAGAAUAAGCACCGGCUAACUACGUGCCAGCAGCCGCGGUAAUACGUAGGGUGCGAGCGUUAAUCGGAAUUACUGGGCGUAAAGCGUGCGCAGGCGGUUUUGUAAGAUCGAUGUGAAAUCCCCGGGCUCAACCUGGGAACUGCAUUGGUGACUGCAAGGCUGGAGUGCGGCAGAGGGGGAUGGAAUUCCGCGUGUAGCAGUGAAAUGCGUAGAUAUGCGGAGGAACACCAAAGGCGAAGGCACUCUGCUGGGCCAAUACUAACACUGAGAGACGAAAGCGAGGGGAGCAAAUGGGAUUAGAAACCCGAGUAGUCC
rnacentral:rRNA from 1 species